AGUGCUGAAAGAGUGAGCCAGGACAGCCUUUCGACAUUGAACAAGGCAAUUCCCAAUCUCUUGAGCUCUGGCUGUGUUCACUGAAUGGAUCUAGUCUCUGAAAAUUCACCGACAUUUUUGGCUGGGCGCUGUGGCUCAUGCCUGUAAUCCCAGCACUUUGGGAGGUUGAGACGGGAAGAUUACGAGGUCAAGAGAUCAAGACUAUCCUGGGCAACAUGAUGAAACGCUGUCUCUACUAAAAACACAAAAAAUUAGCUGGGUGUGGUGGUGCGAGCCUGUAGUCCCAGCUACUCAGGAGGCUGAAGCAGGAGAAUUGCUUGAACCCAGGAGGCGGCGGUUGCAGUGAGCCAAGGUGGCGCCACCGCUCUCCAGCCUGGCAACAGAGCGUGACUCCGUCUCAAAAAAAGAAAAAUAAAAAAUUUCAGGGAUAUUUAUGUAGUGACCUGUUAUUUAAUUUUUCAAUAAUAUAAAUCUGUUUCAAGAAAAAGAAAUUUUAAACAAACUCUUAUGAUUUUCUUUCUCCUGAAUAUUAUUCCAGAACUUAAAAAAAAGAAGAAACAAAACAGAGUAAGUACAUUAGCUUUAUUCAACAUACCAUCUUGUCUAGUAGUAAACUACUAAAAACAGUCUCCUGAGUGGAAAAAAUAUAAAUUUUUGUCUAUUUAACAAGUAAUAGCAUCAGUGCUGCCCUGCGUGUUCUCAUUAUUUUCUCCAAAUAAAUUGGCUCAAUAUGCUGCUAAGUAUUACCAUUUAUAUUUAUUUUGUAGUUCUAUAUCUUGUCUUUCCUGUUUCAUCUGUAAACAGGCAAUUAUUGCCUCAGUGUGUAUUCUGAUACAUUUUCUCUCUAAAUCUAUUGUCCAACAUCUUGCAUAUAAAAUCUGGCUUUUCUCUCAUAUAUCAAAAUCGCAGGUCACAUAGUCUCAGUGCCAAGAGUUACAAGAACAACUGCUUUAUUUCACUCCCAUCUCUGUGAAUACAAAACUCCAAUCUCUAAAGUAUAAAGUAUUUUGUAUCUAUUUAUAACACUAUGUUCCUGGCUUAUUGAUAUAUUAUUUCAUUAUUAGCUCUUAAAAACCUAACAAGGUGCUGAAUAAUUUUGUGAAAUAUUCCAUGGAGAACUACCAUUAAAAUAGUGAUUAUUUUAA
rnacentral:lncRNA from 1 species